UACGUAGGGAGCAAGCGUUGUCCGGAUUUAUUGGGCGUAAAGAGCUCGUAGGCGGUUUAGAAAGUCAGGUGUGAAACCUCCAGCUCAACCUCGGAGACGCCACUUGAUACUUCUAUGACUUUGAGUUCGGUAGGGGUAAGCGGAAUUCCUGGUGUAGCGGUGAAAUGCGCAGAUAUCAGAGGAACACCGAUGGCGAAGGCAGCUUACUGGGCCGAUACUGACGCUGAGGAGCGAAAGCGUGGGGAGCGAACAGG
rnacentral:rRNA from 1 species